AGUGAACGCUGGCGGUAGGCCUAACACAUGCAAGUCGAACGGCAGCACAGUAAGAGCUUGCUCUUACGGGUGGCGAGUGGCGGACGGGUGAGGAAUACAUCGGAAUCUACUUUUUCGUGGGGGAUAACGUAGGGAAACUUACGCUAAUACCGCAUACGACCUACGGGUGAAAGCAGGGGAUCUUCGGACCUUUCGCGAUUGAAUGAGCCGAUGUCGGAUUAGCUAGUUGGCGGGGUAAAGGCCCACCAAGGCGACGAUCCGUAGCUGGUCUGAGAGGAUGAUCAGCCACACUGGAACUGAGACACGGUUCAGACUCCUACGGGAGGCAGCAGUGGGGAAUAUUGGACAAUGGGCGCAAGCCUGAUCCAGCCAUACCGCGUGGGUGAAGAAGGCCUUCGGGUUGUAAAGCCCUUUUGUUGGGAAAGAAAAUCAGCAGGUUAAUACCCCGCUGUUCUGACGGUACCCAAAGAAUAAGCACCGGCUAACUUCGUA
rnacentral:rRNA from 1 species